UACAGAGGGUGCGAGCGUUAAUCGGAAUUACUGGGCGUAAAGCGUGCGUAGACGGUUUGUUAAGUCUGAUGUGAAAGCCCUGGGCUCAACCUGGGAAUUGCAUUGGAUACUGGCGAGCUAGAGUGCGGUAGAGGAUGGCGGAAUUCCCGGUGUAGCAGUGAAAUGCGUAGAGAUCGGGAGGAACAUCUGUGGCGAAGGCGGCCAUCUGGACCAGCACUGACACUGAGGCACGAAAGCGUGGGGAGCAAACAGG
rnacentral:rRNA from 1 species